rnacentral:tRNA from 1 species
AACUUUUAAAGGAUAAUAGUAAUCCAUUGGCCUUAGGAGCCACUUACCUUGGUGCAAAUCCAAGUAAAAGUA